GAUGAACGCUAGCGGCAGGCCUAACACAUGCAAGUCGAGGGGGAGGUUACUUUCGGGUAACUGAGACCGGCGUACGGGUGCGUAACGCGUAUACAAUCUGCCUUUCACUGGGGGAUAGCCCGAAGAAAUUUGGAUUAAUACCCCAUAGUAUAGUAAUACGGCAUCGUGAUGCUAUUAAAGCUUAGGUGGUGAAAGAUGAGUAUGCGUUCUAUUAGCUAGUUGGAGAGGUAACGGCUCCCCAAGGCGAUGAUAGAUAGGGGUUCUGAGAGGGAUGUCCCCCACACUGGUACUGAGAUACGGACCAGACUCCUACGGGAGGCAGCAGUGAGGAAUAUUGGACAAUGGUCGGCAGACUGAUCCAGCCAUGCCGCGUGCAGGAUGAAGGUCUUAUGGAUUGUAAACUGCUUUUGUAAGGGAAGAAUAGGGGCUACGCGUAGUUUGAUGACGGUACCUUACGAAUAAGCAUCGGCUAACUCCGUG
rnacentral:rRNA from 1 species